AUGGGAGACCUUAAUGAUAUCUUGUAUGAUACUGAUGCUUGCAAUGGUAGUGUAAAUUAUUACCGUAUGUCGUCUUUUCGGUCUCUUGUUAAAAACUGUGGGUUUUUUAUUGGUUUUAGUGGACCUGCGUACACUUGGCAUAACAGGCAACACACUUCUAAUCCUAUUUACAGACGCUUGGAUAGAUGUCUUGUUAAUUCUGAUUGGUGUGCGCAUUUUCCUAAUACGAAAGUUCUCAAUUUGCCUAUCAUUCUAAGUGAUCAUGCUCCCAUUCUUAUUUCCACAUAUGGUAACUUUGUUAAGCCAAGGCAAAUGUUUAAAUUUGAAAACUGGUGGUUGCUUGAAAAAGAUUUUAGUAACUUUGCUAGAUCUCCCUGGAAUAAUAGUGCAUCUGCUUCUUUUGUAGCAAAAUCUUCUUCUUUGGCAGGUUCCUUAAAAAUGGUGUAA
rnacentral:rRNA from 1 species